GCCCGGGAACACUCACGGCUCCUUCCUCAUCCGGGAGAGCGAGAGCACCGCGGGAUCGUUUUCACUGUCGGUCCGGGACUUCGACCAGAACCAGGGAGAGGUGGUGAAACAUUACAAGAUCCGUAAUCUGGACAACGGUGGCUUCUACAUCUCCCCCCGAAUCACUUUUUCCGGCCUGCAUGAACUGGUCCGCCAUUACACCAAUGCUUCAGAUGGGCUCUGUACACGGUUGAGCCGCCCCUGCCAGACCCAGAAGCCCCAGAAGCCGUGGUGGGAGGACGAGUGGGAGGUUCCCAGGGAGACGCUGAAGCUGGUGGAGCGGCUGGGGGCUGGACAGUUCGGGGAGGUGUGGAUGGGGUACUACAACGGGCACACGAAGGUGGCGGUGAAGAGCCUGAAGCAGGGCAGCAUGUCCCCGGACGCCUUCCUGGCCGAGGCCAACCUCAUGAAGCAGCUGCAACACCAGCGGCUGGUUCGGCUCUACGCUGUGGUCACCCAGGAGCCCAUCUACAUCAUCACUGAAUACAUGGAGAACGGUGGGUGCUGCCCGAGUCGGCUGCCAGGGAAUACUGCUCUCCCCGCUGUCGCUGCUGGAGGGUGGAAAUACACCUUUUCUUCUGGCCCAAAGCUCAAGCAAGGAGGGUUUCUUGAGCUUUCCUAGCCCCUGAAGACUCACCUCCAGCCGGGCGCGGUGGCUCAGGCCUGUAAUCCCAGCACUUUGGGAGGCCGAGGCGGGCAGAUCACGAGAUCAGGAGUUCAAGACCAGCCUGACCAAUAUGGUGAAACCCCGUCUCUACUAAAAACACAAAAAUUAGCCAGGGGUGGUGGCGCAUGCCUGUAAUCCCAGGUACUCAGAAGACUGAGGCAGGAGAAUCCCUUUAAUCCUGGAGGUGGAGGUUACAGUUGCAGUGAGCUGAGAUCAUG
rnacentral:sRNA from 1 species